AUUGAACGCUGGCGGCAUGCUUUACACAUGCAAGUCGAACGGUAACAAGGAGCUUGCACCGCUGACGAGUGGCGAACGGGUGAGUAAUGCGUCGGAACGUGCCGAGUAGUGGGGGAUAACGCAUCGAAAGGUGUGCUAAUACCGCAUACGAACUGAGGUUGAAAGUGGGGGACCUUCGGGCCUCACGCUAUUCGAGCGGCCGACGUCUGAUUAGCUAGUUGGUGAGGUAAAGGCUCACCAAGGCGACGAUCAGUAGCGGGUCUGAGAGGAUGAUCCGCCACACUGGGACGGAGACACGGCCCAGACUCCUACGGGAGGCAGCAGUGGGGGAUUUUGGACAAUGGGCGCAAGCCUGAUCCAGCCAUGCCGCGUGUCUGAAGAAGGCCUUCGGGUUGUAAAGGACUUUUGUCCGGGAGCAAAUGCUGGUGGCUAACAUCCACCGGAGCUGAGAGUACCGGAAGAAUAAGCACCGGCUAACUACGUGCCAGCCGCCGCCGUAAAAC
rnacentral:rRNA from 1 species